UGGGGAAUAUUGCACAAUGGGGGAAACCCUGAUGCAGCAACGCCGCGUGAGUGAUGAAGGCCUUCGGGUUGUAAAGCUCUGUCUUCAGGGACGAUAAUGACGGUACCUGAGGAGGAAGCCACGGCUAACUACGUGCCAGCAGCCGCGGUAAUACGUAGGUGGCAAGCGUUGUCCGGAUUUACUGGGCGUAAAGGGAGCGUAGGCGGAUACUUAAGUGGGAUGUGAAAUACCUGGGCUUAACUUGGGUGCUGCAUUCCAAACUGGGUGUCUAGAGUGUUGGAGAGGAAAGUGGAAUUCCUAGUGUAGCGGUGAAAUGCGUAGAGAUUAGGAAGAACACCAGUGGCGAAGGCGACUUUCUGGACAAUAACUGACGCUGAGGCUCGAAAGCGUGGGGAGCAAACAGGAUUAGAUACCCUGGUAGUCCACGCCGUAAACGAUGGGUACUAGGUGUAGGGGGUAUCGACUCCCCCUGUGCCGCCGUUAACACAAUAAGUACCCCGCCU
rnacentral:rRNA from 1 species